rnacentral:rRNA from 1 species
UACGUAGGGGGCAAGCGUUGUCCGGAUUUAUUGGGCGUAAAGAGCGUGUAGGCGGCUUGGUAGGUCCGCUGUGAAAACUCGAGGCUCAACCUCGAGAUGUCGGCGGAAACCACUUGGCUAGAGUCCGGAAGAGGAGAGUGGAAUUCCUGGUGUAGCGGUGAAAUGCGCAGAUAUCAGGAAGAGCACCUAUGGCGAAGGCAGCUCUCUGGGACGGUACUGACGCUGAGACGCGAAAGCGUGGGGAGCGAACAGG